AACGAACGCUGGCGGCAGGCUUAACACACGCAAGUCGAACGCGUGUAGCAAUACACGAGUGGCGCACGGGUGAGUAACGCGUGGAUAUCUGCCUUUGGUUCGGAAUAACUCCGGGAAACUGGAGCUAACACCGGAUGGUUCCUACGGGAUAAAGAUUUAUCGCCAAAAGAUGAGUCCGCGUACGAUUAGCUAGUUGGUGAGGUAAUGGCUCACCAAGGCGACGAUCGUUAGCUGGUCUGAGAGGACGAUCAGCCACACUGGGACUGAGACACGGCCCAGACUCCUACGGGAGGCAGCAGUGGGGAAUAUUGGACAAUGGGGGCAACCCUGAUCCAGCCAUGCCGCGUGAGUGAUGAAGGCCUUCGGGUUGUAAAGCUCUUUUGGUCGGGGACGAUGAUGACGGUACCGCAGAUAAGCCCGGCUAACUUCGUGCCAGCAGCCGCGGUAAU
rnacentral:rRNA from 1 species